rnacentral:rRNA from 1 species
CCCUUAGAUGUUCUGGGCCGCACACGCGCUACACUGAAGGAGGCAGCGUGUACUCCUGGAUCGAAAGAUUUGGGUAACCCGCGAAUCUCCUUCGUGCUAGGGAUUGAGGUUUGCAAUUAUCCUUCAUGAACGAGGAAUUCCCAGUAAGUGCAAGUCAUAAGCUUGCGCUGACUACGUCCCUGCCCUUUGUACACACCGCCCGUCGCUACUACCGAUUGAAUGAUUUAGUGAGGACUUCGGACUGGGACCGAUGCGGCUUUCGGGCGGCGUCGGUAUUCUGGAAAGAUGUCCAAACUGUAUCAUUUAGAGGAAGUAAAAGUCGUAACA